ACUGCCCUUUGGCCAGAGUCCUGAAUCCCAAUGAAGGUUAAGCAGGAGUUUGAGCGGGUGACUUACUGUAUGGCUGAGAUAUGAGGUGAGGGGGCUGGACAGGAACCACCUGUGUGGCUGGGCCCAAGGACGAAGGCUCAUCGGCAGCAGUGCCCGACUGCUGGAAGGCCAUAUCAAUCUCUUCAUCUGUCAGUCCUGGGGAGAAGAGGACAUCAUUGCAGCUUAUCAUUCAGACGUAUUGGCAAAGUUAUUCAGACUGGAUUUCUUCAAAUUAAAAACUGCUUUUAAACAUGAGGAUGGCCAAUGCCAGUGAGGGUGCCGUGGAAGAGCAACUGAGAAACUUUGGAAGACGCUUCAGCACUCUAUCACAAGAGUUUUAAAAAUGUUCAUACCUUUGACUUCUUUUGCUUCUAAGAAAUAAUAAAAUAAUGUAGUAAAAGA